UUAAGGAUGUACUUAGGUGAGGUAAGGUGAAAAAUAAUAAAUUAAGAAUUUAAAAUUGAUAUUAUAAGCUGGUAGAGCAUCCAUUAAGGAUAAAGAUAAGCUAAAAAAUAUUGAUAGGUCAUGGACCUCCUUUUCGAGAUAUUUGAGAUUUAAAAUAUGGCGGGAAAAGGCUGACUCGGACUUUUACCUUAUAUUUGCAUUGGUAUUAUUUUGG
rnacentral:lncRNA from 1 species